rnacentral:piRNA from 1 species
UAUGGUGGGUGAGUAGCUUGCCUUGCUUGU